rnacentral:rRNA from 1 species
AUUGAACGCUGGCGGCAUGCUUUACACAUGCAAGUCGAACGGCAGCACGGGUGCUUGCACCUGGUGGCGAGUGGCGGACGGGUGAGUAAUGCAUCGGAACGUGUCCUGAAGUGGGGGAUAACGCAUCGAAAGAUGUGCUAAUACCGCAUAUUCUCUGAGGAGGAAAGUAGGGGAUCGAAAGACCUUAUGCUUUUGGAGCGGCCGAUGUCUGAUUAGCUAGUUGGUAGGGUAAUGGCUUACCAAGGCGACGAUCAGUAGUUGGUCUGAGAGGACGACCAGCCACACUGGGACUGAGACACGGCCCAGACUCCUACGGGAGGCAGCAGUGGGGAAUUUUGGACAAUGGGCGCAAGCCUGAUCCAGCCAUGCCGCGUGAGUGAAGAAGGCCUCGG